GUGUUCUGUCUGAAUGAUGAAAUUAUCAUUUAUCAUAUGAUGAUUCUGUUGUACUAUCUGAUGAUGGUUGGGUUGAUCGAGCCAUCCUCAGGCCUGAUCAUUCAUUAGUUAGAAUCACUGAGUAUGUUCAUGUUAAUGGUUUGACCUAAUCGAAACUUUCAGUGGAGGCCCAUUGCCUACUGAAAUAAAAUUUGAGGCUAAAUUAACUACUAAAAAUUAUUUGGAGAAAUAAUUAGUUGAGAACCUACCCAUAUGUGUAUAUGGAUUGAUCGAGCCAUCUUCGGGCCUAUAUGCGUCUGUGUGGAUUCUUGUACCCACUAAGAAAUUAAGAUAAUUCCUGAGAUUGGAGGUAGAGGCUACCAAUUCAACUAAAAUAGAGAGAAAACUUUUAGACUAAAGUCUAUGUCUUUAAGCUUAAUCAAUUCAUAACCAUAAAGGUCUUGUGUUUUUCUUUCAGUUAUGGCU
rnacentral:lncRNA from 1 species